rnacentral:lncRNA from 1 species
GAGGUAAAAGAGGAAGUAUAUGUACUGGCUCAACUUGAAUAGAUUCUAUAAAUUUUAUGACUUAUUGCUCUUUAGAGACUCUCUUUUCAAGCUCAAUUUUUCUCCCACUAUCUCCAACUUGGAUAAAUAAAUUUUUUAAAAAGAUGGUAUGUCGACUCACAACUACAUAAUGAUCCUCUGAGAAAUAAAAGUAGUAUCCCAUAGACUCUCUAGGAUAUCUAAUGAAAUGAGCUUUAUGGG